GAUGAACGCUGGCGGCGUGCCUAAUACAUGCAAGUAGAACGCUGACGGAAGGAUCUUGCUCUAUCUGGUUGAGUUGCGAACGGGUGAGUAACGCGUAGGUAACCUGUAUGGUAGCGGGGGAUAACUAUCGGAAACGCUAGCUAUUAUCGCAUAACAGUAGAUGUUGUAUGAUCACUAUUUGAAAGGGGCACUUGCUCCACUACCAGAUGGACCUGCGUUGUAUUAGCUAGUUGGUGAGGUAACGGCUCACCAACGCGACGAUACAUAGCCGACCUGAGCGGGUGAGCAGCCACACUGAGACUGGGACACGGCCCAGACUCCGACGGGAGGCAGAGGUAGGGAUACGGAAUAAAUGGACAGGAGUGUGAGCGAGCAACGCCGAGUGAGUGAAGAGGAUGAUCGGAUCGUAGAGUGCAGUUGUAAGAGAAGAGCGAGUGAGAGAGUGGAAAGUUCACACUGUGACGGUAUCUUACCAGUAAGGGACGGCUAACUACGUG
rnacentral:rRNA from 1 species